GACCUCUUCCUCAUAUGAAUAUCAGGGAUGACUCGACGCAGCUUGAAGACUAUCGGAUCUCCUGCACCACAUUCCUCUCUCAAACAAUGCACUGCUCACUCAUCACGGCAGUCCCUUGGGAUUGAGGAUGACUUGCUUCCACUCCAGUUCUGUGGCUUCUGAGGGGGCUGAAGACACUAAUGUGGGAAUUGCAGACUGCCCCAGGAGGUGCUUGCUGGGGUGCGCAGCUUGGGAGGUGAUGCACUCCUUCAGCUAUUUACGUCAGACUUCCGCAGUGAAGAGUUUGGAGUAAUCACUUGUCUGCGUGAGUUUUCUCUGGGUGCUCCGGUUUCCUCCCACAUUCGAAAGGCGUACGGGUUAGGAAGUUGUGGGCACGCUAUGCUGGCGCUGGAAGCAUGGCGACACUUGCGGGCUGCCUCCAGAAUAUUCUACGCAAAAGAUGCAUUCCACUGUAUGUUUCGAUGUACACGUGACUAAUAAAGAUAUCUUAUCUUA